UACGAAGGGGGCUAGCGUUGCUCGGAAUCACUGGGCGUAAAGGGCGCGUAGGCGGACUUUUAAGCGGGGGUGAAAGCCCAGGGCUCAACCCUGGAAUUGCCUUCGAUACUGGGAGUCUUGAGUUCGGAAGAGGUUGGUGGAACUGCGAGUGUAGAGGUGAAAUUCGUAGAUAUUCGCAAGAACACCGGUGGCGAAGGCGGCCAACUGGUCCGAUACUGACGCUGAGGCGCGAAAGCGUGGGGAGCAAACAGG
rnacentral:rRNA from 1 species